GCUGGAUCAGGGACGUGACCACCAGUCCUCCCUUAGAGUUGUCCUCUUCCAAGCAAAGGCCAAGACCUGCAUAAUCCUGGAAUGAGAAGCAACAAUUAUAAAGCAGUAUAACAAGGGAGGCUGAGGAGUAUGAUCACCCUGAAGCUGAAACACAAUAGAGCCAGCUCCAGAGUGGGAUCCUGAUAACCCUGAUCCAGGCGAGUGUUGUACACACAGCUCAAACCUAAUACAGCAGAAUGGCAUGUUUUCCCAGUCUUCACUUCACUCUGUUCCAGGCAUUCGCGUACCUCCAGUAUCCUGUCUCCAGCCCGUAGGGUCCCAUUACGUGCUGCCGGGCUGUCUGGGCUGAUGUUC